rnacentral:rRNA from 1 species
UACGGAGGGGGCUAGCGUUGUUCGGAAUUACUGGGCGUAAAGCGUACGUAGGCGGCUUUGUAAGUUAGAGGUGAAAGCCCGGGGCUCAACUCCGGAAUUGCCUUUAAGACUGCAUCGCUUGAAUCAUGGAGAGGUGAGUGGAAUUCCGAGUGUAGAGGUGAAAUUCGUAGAUAUUCGGAAGAACACCAGUGGCGAAGGUGACUCACUGGACAUGUAUUGACGCUGAGGUACGAAAGCGUGGGGAGCAAACAGG